GGGGGGGGGGGGGGGGGGGGGGGGCGGAGGGAAGGCGGGCGAGAGCGGCGGGGCGAGUGGCGCACGGGUGCGUAACGCGAGGGAACCUGCCCUUAGGUUCGGAAUAACUCCCCGAAAGGGGUGCUAAUACCGGAGAAUGUCUUCGGACCAAAGAUUUAUCGCCUUUGGAUGGGCCCGCGUUGGAUUAGCUAGUUGGUAGGGUAAAAGCCUACCAAGGCGACGAUCCAUAGCUGGUCUGAGAGGAUGAUCAGCCACACUGGGACUGAGACACGGCCCAGACUCCUACGGGAGGCAGCAGUGGGGAAUAUUGGACAAUGGGCGAAAGCCUGAUCCAGCAAUGCCGCGUGAGUGAUGAAGGCCUUAGGGUUGUAAAGCUCUUUUACCCGGGAUGAUAAUGACAGUACCGGGAGAAUAAGCUCCGGCUAACUCCGUG
rnacentral:rRNA from 1 species